rnacentral:rRNA from 1 species
AUGUCUGACCUCGGGAUUCUUGUCCAAGGAACUCUGAUAGUUUUGCUGUGCCUACUCCUCUCCUUUCCACCACCAGCCACAGCCUCUCCCCUCCAUGAACCAGCUUCAAAUGUGAGUUGUGUCACGUACGAGAGGGACGCGCUUCUCUCCAUCAAGGAGAGCCUCUGGGAGCCCAGUGUCAACCUCUCGUCAUGGCAAGGUGAAGAAUGCUGCACCUGGAAAGGCGUCAGGUGCAGCUACAAAACCGGCCACGUCGUCAAGCUCAAUCUUCGUGGAAGUGCUCAAGACUGCCUCAGAUACUCUACGUAUAGAGGUGCGAUAAGCCACUCCUUGGUUACUUUACAGCAACUGAGGUAUCUAGACUUGAGCUGCAAUAGCUUCAACUGGUCUGAGAUACCGGAGUUCAUUGGUUCUUUUCCGAGCCUUAGAUAUCUAAACCUUUCAUAUAGCUUGUUCUAUGGGAGAGUAUGCCCGCAGAUUGGGAACCUCUCCAAGCUUGCCUACCUGGAUCUCAAACUCCCAAGUUAUAACAUAUUGUACUCAAGUGAUCUUCGGUGGUUAUCACACCUGUCAUCACUGAAGCACCUCGACUUGAGCUAUAUUAACCUUACCACUGCACUAGACUGGGUCCAUGAAAUUAACAGGAUUCCAAAUCUUAGCAAGCUUUACCUAAAGUACACAGGCCUAAGAAGCACAGUUUCUGUCCUUGGUCAAUCCAAUCUUACGGCACUCGAGGUGCUUGACAUUUCACAGAACUACUUUAACACCACCAUUGCUCCACACUGGUUUUGGAACUCAACGUCCCUCACUUCUCUGAACUUGUUUCGUUGUCACUUCUAUGGUCGUAUUCCUGAAUAUAUUGGUAAUAUGGCCUCUCUCGAGGAAGUUUAUUUCGGGGGGAAUAAUCUUAUGUCCAAUAUGAUACCAUCAAAUUUCAAAAAUCUAUGCAACCUGAAGAUACUAGAAUUGUCAGGCAGCAACACCUCAGGGGAUAUCUCAGAGUUGAUGGAGCGGUUACCAAACUGUACUUUGAACAAGAUGCAAGUGUUGGACUUGGGAGAUAAUAUGCUAGGUGGGGCCAUGCCCAGUAGUCCCGGGCCUCUUACAAACCUGACCUGCUUGGCCCUACCUCAAAAUAAGCUUACAGGCCCUAUACCCAAAUGGAUAUGGUCACUCACCGAGUUGCUUAUUUUGGACUUAGAAAGAAACGAACUACAUGGCGUAGUCACUGAAGAUCACCUAAGAAGCCUUACAAAUUUGAAGAUCUUAAGUUUGGGCCACACACUUCUUCAGAUCAAGGUCAGUCCGAAUUGGGUUCCUCCAUUCAAACUACAAGUAGUUACCUUAGAAGGUUUGCAGCUAGGACCAGCAUUCCCGUCAUGGCUUAGAUCACAGACAAGCCUUGGGAUCCUAUUGAUUGCAAAUACAACCAUAACUACAAUCCCAGAUUGGUUUUGGGUUGCCUUUUCAAGGGCAAAAGUGGUGGAUCUAUCCAAAAAUCAGAUAACUGGCGCACUACCAGCAACACUGGAAUUUAUGGCAGCAGAAACAAUGGCUCUGUCCAACAACAGAUUUACUGGCGCAGUUCCAAAAUUCCCAAGAAAUAUUAAAGGCAUGUACUUGUCAGUAAACUCUUUAUCGGGGUCGUUGCCAUCAGAUUUCGGAGCCCCGUUGUUGCAGUAUCUUAGUAUUUAUAACAAUUCAAUAUCAGGCUCCAUUCCAUCUUCGUUAUGCUCAUUGACACAGUUGGCUCUGCUAGAUCUAUCAGGGAACAAGCUGACAGGAGAAGUUCCAAGUUGCGAAGAGGAUUCUAACCCACCCAUGCAUAAUCUUAAUGUGGUAAAUUUGCAUACCAACAACCUCUCAGGAGAGUUCCCAAGAGUCUUUCAAAGCUGCCCCAACCUUGUUUUUGUUGAUCUUUCAUAUAACAUAUUCUCCGGAGACCUACCUGUCUGGAUGGGGGUGAAGUUACCGUACUUAGCAAUGUUACGUCUGCGGUACAAUAUGUUUUCUGGCCAGAUUCCCAUUGAAAUUGGAAAGAUUCGAGAGCUACAGUUUUUAGAUCUUGCACACAACAACUUCUCAGGAAGCGUGCCGAACUCAUUAGUUAACUUGAGUGCAAUGGCCCGCACUUCUGGACAUAGUGAUGUUCUUUAUUAUGCCUUCAGUAAUAGACAAGGGGCUCAUCUGUACAACUCAGUAUAUCUCUCUAUUUCUUUCGGGGAAACUUUAUCUGUUCUUACAAAAGGACAACAACUUGUAUUUAUCUAUAUCUCAGACAUGGUGGUUCUUGAUUUGUCAUGUAACAGUUUAACCGGAGUGAUCCCUCGAGAUAUUGGUGGUCUCAUUGGAUUAAGAAGUCUGAACUUGUCAUUGAACAGCUUAAGUGGUGCAAUCCCAGAAAAAUUUGGUGAGCUCAAGCAAUUGGAAUCUCUUGACCUGUCAAACAAUGAACUUUCAGGAGAGAUCCCUUCAAGCAUGACUGCUCUUACCUCUUUGAGCCAUAUGAACCUGUCAUACAACAAUCUUUCCGGAAAGAUACCAACUGGAAAUCAACUACAGACUUUUGACGCAUCUGACUACAUUGGGAACAUUGGUUUAUGUGGUUACCCCUUGACGAACAACUGUACAGGAAAUAGUUCAAGUCGACCUACACAUGUAGAUCAUGGAGAUGGAUCGGAGGAUAUAUCCCUUUACGUUGGUUUGGCUGUUGGGUAUGUCCUUGGCCUUUGGGUGGUCUUCUGUGUGAUGCUAUUUAAAAAAAGAUGGAGAACUGCUUAUUUCAGAUUUAUUGAAGGGCUGCAGGACAGGAUUUAUGUGGCAGUGGUACUGAGAUGGACCAAUCUGAAGAGGAAACUUGGUAAAACUUAA